rnacentral:rRNA from 1 species
GACGAACGCUGGCGGCGUGCCUAAUACAUGCAAGUAGAACGCUGAAGGAGGAGCUUGCUUCUCUGGAUGAGUUGCGAACGGGUGAGUAACGCGUAGGUAACCUGCCUGGUAGCGGGGGAUAACUAUUGGAAACGAUAGCUAAUACCGCAUAAGAGUAGAUGUUGCAUGACAUUUGCUUAAAAGGUGCAAUUGCAUCACUGCCAGAUGGACCUGCGUUGUAUUAGCUAGUUGGUGGGGUAACGGCUUACCAAGGCGACGAUACAUAGCCGACCUGAGAGGGUGAUCGGCCACACUGGGACUGAGACACGGCCCAGACUCCUACGGGAGGCAGCAGUAGGGAAUCUUCGGCAAUGGACGGAAGUCUGACCGAGCAACGCCGCGUGAGUGAAGAAGGUUUUCGGAUCGUAAAGCUCUGUUGUAAGAGAAGAACGAGUGUGAGAGUGGAAAGUUCACACUGUGACGGUAUCUUACCAGAAAGGGACGGCUAACUACGUG